ensembl:lncRNA
GCUGUUGGUGGUCACAUAGAGUCAACAGUUCAACAGGAUUGCAAUUAAACUUCUAGGGCUGGGGGCGGGCAGUGAAUCUCAGUGGUAGAGCUCAGGCUUAGCAUGCACAAGGCACUGGGUUCAAACUCCAGCAACAGUAAUGAUAAUUUUUUAAAACUAUGGCCAUAGGUAAGAUUCAUCCACAAUAGGUAUUACACAUCAAUGUGAUCCUUAAAAAAAAGAUCAACAGUUUCCCUAACAGCUGGCUUAAAGGUCCUCUUUUCUUCUUCUUCCCAACAGAAAAACAAGUUGUACAAAAAUCAAGCCAAAAGAGAUUAAAACAUUUUUGAAUUUUCUUUGUAAUAUUUCCAUGUUUUGGAUGGAGUCAGAAUAUCGUGGGAAGCUGCCUAAAUGACUUCAAUUCCUUACCCAAAACCCUCUGGGCCAGAUGUUUUUCCAAAUUCGUAAUUUGUUGGAUUUUAAAAAGGUAACAUGGGGGCAUAUAAUGGGUAUCAAGAAACUCCUCCUUGGAAUUUGGCAAUACCUAUAAAAUCAAACCUGUUGAUAUUUCAAACAGGCACAUGAAAUGGCACAAAAAAACAUAGUAACUGUGCACCAGUUCAAGUCUGCUAACGAAUUAUGGCAUCAAAUUGAGAAAAAUAAGCAAACUUAGUUUUAGAGUUUGAGGAUAAGGGGAUGUGGACCUUUAACAUCUCUGACGAAGCUUAUUCCAUUUCAUUAUGACCUCUGUGAAUCUGCUCUUGUGCCUGACCUAUACUGACUUACGGACAGUAUCUCCCACUGCAGAAAGGGGUUCUCAAAUUUGUUCAGACAUUAGAUUACCUGAGUAACAGUACUCACUGACAAUAGUUUGAAAAAUAUAUAUACUGUAAUAACUAUUGUUAAUUUUAUGAAAUCCAACACCACCUUAAGACUAGAUUUUAAUAAUCAGCAGAGCAUACCAACAUUGAAGGUGUGUUUAUAAGAAAAAUAAAACUGAGAAAUGUAUAAAUAUUAAUAUAAUUUAGGAAAAUACAUUAUGUCUUUUUAGCAGCUGCACAAUGUGACUCCACAUAGACUGCAAACUUUGGCUAUGAAAGACUAAAAGAUUCAUGAGACCAUUUUGGCAUCAACAUACUCUUGCAAACUGUAAUCAAGUUAUACCAAGCAAUUUAUAUAUUAAUAAUUUCUUCUGUAUUUAUCAGUGUCUAAAUUUGCCAUUUGCAGAUCUUGAUACCAUGGAGCCAUUAAAC